GUAGUAAAGAUAUAUAGCAUGAUCAUAAGGGGAUAAGACACAGGCCAAAUCUGGAACAAUUUCUGUGUAGGCUUCAUUUCCAUAACAACCACAUAGUGCAUUCUUCUUCUAGCAACUAGAUGUAGCAACAUAUGUAUAAUGUUUCUGCCCAGAUAAGCCCCUACUAGACUCAGUACCCAAGGGCUUUAUUGGAGGCUGGCCAUGUUGGUACCCUCUGCCUAACAUGUACCAAAAUUCCAGACUCCCAGAGGGAAAACAGUCUAGCACAGUGAAUCAACUUUAUCAGUUAGGGAAAGUUUUAAAUCAUUGUAGGCAACUCUUUAUCAUCCAAGUUCCCAGAUGCCAACCAAGGGCCACCUAUGUUAACCCUUUUCUGCACAGUUGCACCACUUUAUAUUCAUACCAAGAGACUAUGAGAGUUCCAAUUUCUCCACAUCCUCACCAACAUUUGGAAUAGCCGGUCUUUUUACCAUUCUUAUAUAAGCAUAUUGGUUUCUUAUUAUCACUUAUGUUUGCAUUUUCUCAACAACUAAUUAUAUUGAACAUCUUUUUUGUGAUAUUGGGCAUCCAACCCAGAUUUUACUCAUGCUACGCAAAUGCUCUACCAUUGAGCUACAUCCCCAGCCCUCAAACAUCUUUUUAUGUGCUUGUUUGCUACCAAUUUACCUUCCUUGCAUAAGUGCCAGUUUAAAUCUUUUGCCCAAUUUUUUUCUUGGGUUCAUUUUUUGAGAAUACUUUAUACAUUUUAAAAAUUGUAGUCAAAAGUAUAGUAACAUUAAAUUUAUUAUCUUAGCCAUUUUUAAGUGGACAGUAAUCCUAAGUAUAUUCCUGUUAUUGUGCAACAGAUAUUUAGAAUGAUUCAUUUUGCAAAAUAGAUAAUCUGUACCCAAAGAAGACUAAUUCUCCAUCUUCCCAACCCUUGGCAACCACCUUUCUACUUUAUGUUUCUAUGAUUUUGACUACUGCUGGAAUCAGACAGCAUUUAUAUUUUAUUUGGUUUAUUUCACUCAGAAUAAUGUCCUUGAGAUUCAUUUAUAU
rnacentral:lncRNA from 1 species